rnacentral:tRNA from 1 species
GGGGGAAUAUUUUAGUGGUAGAAUUCUGGUCUCCAAAACCAGAGGCGAGGGUUCGAUUCCUUCUUCCCCUG